UCCGACUUUUCGCCGGCAGUCUCCCUAGAGUCCCCGGCAUCAUCCGCUGGCAACUAGGGACAGGGGUUGCGCUCGUUGCGGGACUUAACCCAACAUCUCGCGACACGAGCUGACGACAGCCAUGCAGCACCUGUGCUGGAACUCCGAAGAGGGGCCUCGGUUUCUCGAGGCUUUCUCCAGCAUGUCAAACCCAGGUAAGGUUCUUCGCGUUGCGUCGAAUUAAACCACAUGCUCCGCUGCUUGUGCGGGUCCCCGUCAAUUCCUUUGAGUUUUAGCCUUGCGGCCGUACUCCCCAGGCGGGGCACUUAAUGCGUUAGCGUCGGCACGGGAGGAGUCGACACCUCCCACACCUAGUGCCCAUCGUUUACGGCGUGGACUAC
rnacentral:misc_RNA from 1 species